CGGAAUUACGCGCUUCGUUUUCGUUGCCGUCAUGCUAGCCUUCCGCACGGCGCCGGCUCUCACUCUGCCCACUACUUGUUCGACAAAAAGUCUACCCGUUCCCGGGGCAGCGACCUCCGCCUCCCCAGCCAGCCUCCUGCCGUCCUGCGGCUGCGGCGGUGCCCUCUUCUCCCAUGGUCCGCCGCGCGCCUCCCAGGCCCGUAGUUCCGUCCGUGCAUUCGCUCCCCGCCCGUAGAUAUCGGGGGCAUGGCGCGCUCCGCCGCAUCCAGGGGAACGGUGUUUGAUGUCUUCCUACCGCGGGGCACUAGCUCAGAUGGCUCGCGGAGGCUACUGGUCCGUGAAUAGGAGUAUAGGAUGAGCUGACAUAAAUUCGGCGACCAAUUUCUUGGAGGCUGAAAGCUAGGACUGGUUCACCUCCAUGGUUCCACUGCAUACAAUCUGCUCGUAGUGUAAGCAGGCAAGUGCCUGAGAAGGAAACUCAGAAGCAAAGUUUGGCUAUUCCUGAUUUCUGUCAGCAUCUUAUCAUGGGAAUGUUUAUGUUGUCGAAUGGCCAUUUCGUCUUGUCAGGUUUAAUAUCUAUCUGUGUCUGAAAGUGACAUAUUGCAGCCGGCAACUUGAGUGGAAAAGGUUAGAUCGUGACCAACACCUGAAGGGUCGGGGUCGUAUUGGCUUGUAUAUACAUUAUUACGAUUAUAGAAAAGUUUUCGUGCUUACAUGCAGGCAGAAGGGGCAGCAUUUUAAGUAGAAACUAAGAUGUGGGGUCAUCAGUUUUUUUCCUCAUUCUUUUCUCACCGAUUGAAUGGGUCUAGCCUUCCAAUAGCUCAUACAUGCAACCACUAUGAUCAAAUGUGUCACUUGUCAUCAACUGUGACUAUUGUUGGAACUUGCCCAUGGUUAACAAAUUCAAUCUUGUUCAGCCUAACACAGCAGAGGACCUGCUCAGGGAGCUCCUCUUGCUUCUGGGCCUGCAAGAUCAUUAUAAUUAAUUACAAUUAAUAUAGACUGAGUAUGAGAUAUUUCAAGAGCAAUUCCAGAUAAACUGCAGUGUUAGUUAUUCAUGGGUAUGGAAAAUUUUCUAUGCAAGUCAACGGUGAGCUCUAUGAUUAUCAAUUUAACAGUAUUUGAUGAAUCUGAAAUUUGUCUUGCACCCAAAGAAAGACAUGAGGACAUCUGUUCUCUGCAAAUAAGUAGAAGAAGCGGAAGAAGAUUGAUAGAUGCAUAUUUGGUGAAAAUCUAAAGGAAAACUUACCUGAAUUGUCAAACCCAAAUCGAGGAUGCCAUUCUUUAGGCGUUCCCUAAAUGAAUCUAGUCCCUUCCUAGCAAUGUAGCUGAACCGGUGUAUAUCAAGAUCUACCUCAAAGUAGUUCUCUCCCUGGUGAGGUAAGAGAUAAACAUUAACUGGUGGUUUCUAGAAUACCAUACAAUCUGAUUACCACCUAACAACAUUGUGUGUUACUUCACAGUUCAAACAAGUACAUCACUUUACCUCAUAGAAAUUAUGUUGGGGCCGUGAGAGGACUGGCUUCUCAUUGUAUGCUUGGACAAGCUUCUUCUCUGUGGAACCCAACUGGAGGUCAUCUGGGUUGACCAAUCCAGCCAUGAUUUUCAAUCGAUCUCUGUACAUGGUGGUAGAUUCUGAUGUAAACCCUUUUACCUUCUCAGAUUCAUUCUGAAAAAAUUUCUGUUGACAGAAGGAUUCUGUUAGCUCACAGAAAAUAAUUCUGUUUGGGAAAUAGAGAUGGUGAACUGGAAAAGGCUAACCAUGAUAGAAUCCUUGAAAUGAUCCGAAACCUCCUUCUCAUAGUAUUCAGAUAUCCUGAAGUACAAGACGAGGCUAAAGCCUUCUCCGUCGCUGUCACCGAGGAACAUGGCAGCAGGGUAGGGGAGUACCUGGAUGUUCACAAUCAAAAGUGACGGGAGCUUGGGAUGUGUUCUGAUCUGUGGAAGAUCAAGGUGCUGAGCAAUGUGAUGAACCUUCUUGGUGCAGGCAAACAAAUCCACCCCUAUCGGAUAAUAAGCAGCAUAAUUUGGAGCAGCACAUUUCUUCUUAUCUCUGCAAAGAUUUAAAUCAGAUGUUCGGUUCAUACAGCUCAUUUCAUGCUUAUAGAUAAACAUAUUUGAUAUCGUUA